rnacentral:rRNA from 1 species
AUUGAACGCUAGCGGGAUGCUUUACACAUGCAAGUCGAACGAGUGGCGGACGGGUGAGUAAUAUAUCGGACCGUGCCCAGUAGCGGGGGAUAACUAAUCGAAAGUGUGGCUAAUAGCGCAUACUCUUGGAGCGGCCGAUAUCGGAUUAGCUAGGUGGUGGGGUAAAGGCUCACAAAGGCCACGAUCCGUAGCUGGUGUGAGAGGACGACCAGCCACACUGGGACUGAGACACGGCCCAGACUCCUACGGGAGGCAGCAGUGGGGAAUUUGGGACAAUGGGGGAAACCCUGAUGCAGCCAUCCCGCGUGUAUGAGAAGGCCUUCGGGUUGUAAAGUACUUUUGGCAGGGAAGCGGUAUCUGCAGAAUAAGCACCGGCUAACUACGUGCCAGCAGCCGCGGUAAUAC